AUACGUAGGGGGCGAGCGUUGUCCGGAAUGAUUGGGCGUAAAGGGCGCGUAGGCGGCGCGGUAAGUCUGGAGUGAAAGUCCUGUUUUUAAGAUGGGAAUUGCUUUGGAUACUGUCGGGCUUGAGUGCAGGAGAGGUAAGUGGAAUUCCCAGUGUAGCGGUGAAAUGCGUAGAGAUUGGGAGGAACACCAGUGGCGAAGGCGACUUACUGGACUGUAACUGACGCUGAGGCGCGAAAGUGUGGGGAGCAAACAGGAUUAGAUACCCUGGUAGUCCACACUGUAAACGGUGAAUGCUAGGUGUAGGGGGUAUCGACCCCUUCUGUGCCGCAGUCAACACAAUAAGCAUUCCGCCUGGGGAGUACGGCCGCAAGGUUGAAACUCAAAGGAAUUGACGGGG
rnacentral:rRNA from 1 species